UCCGUAGGCGGACUAAUAAGUCAGGGGUGAAAUCCAACAGCUUAACUGUUGAACUGCCUUUGAUACUGUUAGUCUUGAAUUAUAUGGAAGUAGAUAGAAUGUGUAGUGUAGCGGUGAAAUGCUUAGAGAUUACACAGAAUACCGAUUGCGAAGGCAGUCUACUACGUAUAUAUUGACGCUAAUGGACGAAAGCGUGGGGAGCGAACAGGAUUAGAUACCCUGGUAGUC
rnacentral:rRNA from 1 species